UACAGAGGUCUCAAGCGUUGUUCGGAUUCAUUGGGCGUAAAGGGUGCGUAGGCGGCGCGGUAAGUCGGGUGUGAAAUCUCGGAGCUUAACUCCGAAACUGCAUUCGAUACUGCCGUGCUUGAGGACUGGAGAGGAGACUGGAAUUUACGGUGUAGCGGUGAAAUGCGUAGAUAUCAGGAAGAACACCCGUGGCGAAGGCGGCUCUCUGGGACGGUACUGACGCUGAGACGCGAAAGCAUGGGGAGCGAACAGG
rnacentral:rRNA from 1 species